UAAACAUAGGUGGAUAUGGAUUAAUCAUCCUGUUCCUUAGUGAGACUUGUAGCUGACAACAACCUGGCAACCCCACUAAUGUACACUUCAGGUGUUGUUGAGGUUCCUAAAGGUUAUUUUAUUGACACAUUUGGGGUUUAAAUUUAAUAAAAUACAUAAACAGAUGAGGGUACCUUACUAUCAAAAAAAUCAAACAAUUCAGAGAAGAGCAACAAAAUGCUUGAAGAAAUCAGUUUCUGAAUAAACACUGUCUAGAUUACAGACAUUUGAAGUGUUGUAUUUUAGUGUAGGACACACUGCAAAUUUCCCUGAAAAGCAAAGGCCAUGAUUUUGUAAACACUUAUACACAUACUUAACUUUAAGCAUGUAAAUAUUCUCAUUGACAUUAUUAAUGUCACAUUAAGAAAAUAUGUAAAUUCAGGAAAAGAGCCUACAUGUGUUCAUAACAGCUGUACAUCAGCUGAGUGAGGGGAAUAUGACAAGAGAUUGUAACUGUUCUACCAGUAUUUGAAAAGACCAAGAGAGGCUGUGAGUCGGAGUAUAAUUGCAAAGAGUGGAUUAAAAGUAAAACAAAAGAAAGGAGAACACAAGAAAAAAUCUAAACUACAUCUAUUAAGGCCUAUUUACAGUAGAAAAAGGGAAAUCUAAAAGCAUAAAUCAAUAGGUUUGUAUGCUAGCAUUCCUUUAUCACAAUAUCAAUAAUUGUAUUUAACUGUUCUGUUCAUUGCAUUAGUUUUUGUACUUCUCUUGCAAAACAAAAAACAAAACAAAAAAAACCUGUUUCAUAACUGACAAAGCCAAAUAUCUUUCUAAAAAAGACCAGCCACCUUCAAGAUCAGCAUGUUCCCAGAACAAUUAUAGUACAAUGUGUUUUCAUCCACAUUGGAAAUAAAGAAGUUAUAACAAAGACCCAUGAAGAGGUAUAGUAUGUUUUUAGCAAGACCCCCAAAAUAUUUUUGUUUCGAAACUUUCCUAAUGUUCAUCAAGUUUUCCCUUGCAUAAUUUCCUUCUAUUAUGCCCAACUGCACUCCCAUUUAAAAUACAUGUUUUUUUACUUUUCAGAUUAUGGUAGGUAGACAAUUCUCUCUCCUUUACUUCCCAGGCCUUAGGCCCAGUGACCAUACCACCUAGAGAUUUUCUAAAUCCUCAGAUCAGUUCCUCCAAGCUCUUUUGUCAUUUGUCAAGCCCUAUAUUAAUAUGCUGUUCUAUAUUGAUCCAAGUUUUCUAAUCGUGUAAAAAGAAUGUGUUAGAAUUCAACCCCCCUAAAUGUGGCAGAGAAUUUUGUGUUGAUGGUUCUCUCUCUCAUACAGUAUUUGGACCCUGGGAAAAAGUAUCAUCUCCAAAGAUCUGGCAGAGCCCUAUGAAUUAAGCGCUUCAUAAUGUAACUGACCUAUGCAAUGGAAAGUACAGGGCAAGAAUCCUAUAUUGGCAAGUGGAUGAUUAAAUGACAUAAAUGGUCUUUUCUAUCUCUAAUUUCCAUCAUUCCAUUUAAAUAGCAUACUAUGCUUCCAGACUAAGAGCAUCAGUGCACCUCAGUAUCUCCUAUUACUGCCUGUGGCACAUAAUAAUCUAGUCUCAUGUGAGCUGUGAUACUUUGGUCUAACGUUGGUCAUUGGGUUUAGCGUGACAAUGCUGGAUGUGACACACAGGAGAUCAGACUAGAUGAUCUAGCAGACUCUUCUUGCCUUAAGCUCUAUAAAUAUCUACUACCUUUCUCUGGCCCCAAUUCUAACAAUGAAACUGUAUUUUUGUAUGACUUCAUGCUUUGCCCCCAAAAUAGUAAUGAUUUCCAAUAAAGUUAUGGGGAAGUAUAGAUAUACCAGGGAAAGGAGAGGCAGCUGCAAUAUUCAAUCUGUAUUCAAAAUCACCUUUGAGACAACCCGCUUGCUUCAGUUUACCCCUCAUUGCCAAUCCAAGCUUACCAAAUACAGUUCUGCUUUCACUUUAUUAAAAGACCACCUCCAUUAAGCAACUAACAUUUAUCAGUUCUUUCAGUAGUCACUUGGAACCUGCAAAGGAAACUGCAUUCUUCAAAAACCAUAAACUGAACCACUAAUCAAGGUUAUUUUGAGGCAAGCUGGAUACACUCUACUUUGAUUAAAAGCACAUUCCUGUUACAACUAGAUUAACUAGAAGCUGAAAUUCUUUUUUUAUUCUUGUGCACUGAAUUGACAGGCUGAAUUUAAUUAUGGACUUUGCCCUCCCAUUGCAAGAGACAUCAUCAAUGGUUAAAUACCAUGACCCAUUAAUGUUUUGGUCUUAGAUUGAUGUUUAGAAGUUUCUUCAUUUAAAUGGUUUCAACUGAGUUUUGAAGUUAACACCUCCAACAGGAGAGGAGGAAACUAACAUUUGCUAAGCUAUUAUUCAGGGAGUUUAGUCAAGAUGACACGUGUACUGACUUAAGUACAGAGGAUUAUUUAUAGCUUCAUGUGUAAAUGUGAAGUUUUGGCCAACAGGUCAUCAAAGCUCACUUCAUAGGCAAGCAGCAGCUAAGCAGCACAGACACAUUUUGUUAAGAUCCUGGAACCUCUUGGCCAAAUGCAUUUUAUAUUAUGUUUUUAAUCAAGUGUUUUUAAGUAGAGAAAUUUUUUACAAUAUAUUUAUAAAAACUCAUGGGGCUUUACCAGAAACAUAAGCAUCACAGAAUACAGAGGUACUCAAUUGUCCCUAAUUACAACAAAAAGUUUGGGGUGUUAUAUGCAUAAAAAGCAUAAAACCAAGCACUUAGAUUUUUAUGUUAAAUAUAUCUCACCCAUCGUUAACACCUGUCAAGAAAAUAUCCAGUGCGCAGAGAAUGACAGUUGGGGGGAAAAAAGUAAACAUUUUUUAAAUUAUUUAUAGCACAAAACACAAUGUUUACCAUAAUUCAGCAACUCAACAUUGAAGCUAGGAACAGUAUUUCCAGGAUAAAUCCUGAUUUGGGGCACUGUAUCGUCCGUUUAAAAACUAUUUGAACUAAAAAUUAAGGGCAAAAGGUACUAGCUAUGCACUUUUAAGAGUUGUUUAGCUGUUCUUGUAAAAGCUAAAAAAUAAUAAUUACCAUGAUUUCUGAUAUUCUCACCAAAAAGAGAAAACAAGGGAAAAAAGAGCAUUUGCAUAGCAGAGCUUAAUAUAAGUGAAUCCAUUGAAACCUUCCCUAGGUUAUCCUUUUCUGAAUAAAUCCUUUAUUUUUCCAUUUUGAAAAGUGCACUUUCAGGUUGAACUGUUUAAAUACAUUACACUGACCUAAUUUUAUUAAGACUACUUGAAACAGAUGUGAAUUAUACACUAAAAGCCAAGUUUUUCCUUUCAGUACACAAUAAUUUAAGCAAUAAGCAGGAUUUAAAUUUUGAUAAUCCAUUUUUAAAAAAAUCUACACAAUUCUAUUCUAGAAAUACCACCGUUCCUCAAUAUAGCUCCACAGAAUAGUAACUCUUAAUAACUAGACUAACCAGCUAUCUUUUUUCACUUUAAGAUUUAUAGAGAAAUUAAAGUGAGAGUGAGAAAACAAAGCAAUUUUGUUCUCAACUGUUAUCAAUCUCAGCUACAUUGUUAAACUAUAAAUAGAACAUUCAAGAAUAUUUUGAAGAUACUUGCUUAUUACUAGCAAAGAGACUAUACCUAAUAGUUUACAUAAUAAAAGGUCAGUGAAGAUGCCAUACCACUGAGAUUAAACGACCCUCUACUUUCUACCCAUGAUUUUGUUCAGUUCUGCAAGGUUCUCCAGGUGGAGCUCUGUCUGUACCCAAGCAGAGCCUCACUGACUAUUGUAGUGCUUUCUGCAGUGGUUGGUGCUCAUGUGUGGAGAAGAGCUUGCUGGACAGGGAACUAAAUAUCAUGAUCUCCUUAUGGAAGAUCUUAUAUCAGCAGCCUGGUACAGUAAAAGACAAUGUUAUUUAAAUAGAUACUCCAAAAUAAGAAGCAUGGUUUUGGUUCUGAAUGUUCAAUGAUCUUCUACCAGCUUAAUGUGAUAAAAGGACAAUAGAUAGAAGUAGUAAAGUAAAAAAUACAAACAAUUAUAAAGACUUAGCUCAAUAUCUAAAGUUAUAUUUGGUAUUUUAAAGUUAAUUAGGCAAAAUACAGUGCGACUCCAGUCAUCAGCAGAAGUAUGCAGAGGAGUCACAAAAUCAGAACAUGGUAUUUCAACAAAGCAUAUCUCAAUUUAUCUAAUAUUUUAAAAGCUUAUGUCAGAUCAGAUGCUUUACUUUAUGAACUAUAUUUAUAUAAAAAUAAAUCCAUAUUUAGUAGCAAAAUCCAUAUUUCUAUAAAUGCUUUUAUCUGCCUGAAAGCAUCCAAGCUCUUAACCUCCUGUGUCAGGGCAAAGAGAUUCUCCAAUUCAAAUGAGUGAAAUUAAAAAAAACAAAAACUACCUUAACAUUUAUCAUUCAAACCUGAGUUAGUACAAGGUAGGUGGUUGUGUGGUUUAUUUGUUUCUCUGGCUUUUUACUACUUUGUAUUCUUGAAUAAAAUAUGGGGUAAAGGAAGCACGCAGACUUUCUGAACGGCAUUCUUUGGCCUGGUCUGAUAUGCCUCUUUCUGAUUUUCCUCACAACACUGGCAAUAUUGUUAACUGUCAUAAACAAGGUGUCAAGGACAGUACCAAAUUCAGAGCAACUUUUAAAUUAUCUCCAGCAACCCAAACUGUUGCAGAAAAGAGAGAUAAAAGGGAUCAAGGCCAGCUAAAUAGUGUUUGAGAAGCAUUUCAGUGAGUUCCAUUAUAUAAAACGUGAUGACUUUCCGCGUGUGAUUCAUGCCUAGUUUCCCCUUUCUUGUGGGGGAAAAAAUGCUAUGUUGCUCAAGCCGCAUCUAUGAUAUGACAAAUCUCAGAGAGGAAGGGGAGGGAAGGAAAGAGGGAGUUCACAACCGUUCAGGGUCAAUAAGUGUUUAUACAAACUAUCAUUUGUAAACCGUUUCCGAAGCGUAGGACAAAACACUGUACAGGCAAGAAAAAAAUAAGGAGUAGAAAAAACCCUGCAACAUGAGUGCAUCUAUCAUAUGUGGGGGGUGGGGGGGCUAGAGAAGAAGAGCUGUCAGACAGAGCAACAUCUUUCAUGAGGAGAAGAGAGCGCAUAAAAUUCAGAGCAGGGUCACGGAACGAGGCAUUCACGAUACUACAAGGAGCCACAACAUAACAGAGAAUCUGGACCCCAACAAAAGGAAAUAAGUUGCAUUUGCUUGAAUAAGGAGUGCGGGAAUGGGACCACUUUUUAUAGGAUAUACAUGUUUCACUUUGCUUAUCAAUGCAGUAUUGUAAUCUGAGGUGGAACACAGUAGUUUACUGCACAGAGAAGAAUACCAUGCAAUUUGAAAGUGCAGAGGGGAUUGAUGGAAGCAAAAUGUGACUGCCAAUUUGACAUUUGUCCAAGGCACCAGGAUAACACCUUUACUGUUGCAAAAUUACUGACAUUUUUUAUAACUCUGAGAGCAGACAGUGAAUCUUUGACACUUCUUGGCACUUCUUUCCUCAGACUCUUUCAAGGCUCAGGAAUCACCUGAAGCUGUUCUUACUGGAUCUCUUAAACUCUGAAUAGUAGUAUGGUGACCAGUGUUUAUUUUAUCUUAGUCAAUUUGUAAACUCUUCUGGGCAGGGAAUGUUAGUAUAGUUGUAAUUUAUCAUGUAAACGUACAGUGCUGUAUGAAUGUUUUAUAAGAAAACUUCUCUGUUGGA